GCCGGAGUGGCGGAAUUGGUAGACGCACAGGACUUAAAAUCCUGAGGGACGUAAGUCCCGUGCCGGUUCGAGUCCGGCCUUCGGUA
rnacentral:tRNA from 1 species